rnacentral:rRNA from 1 species
UACAGAGGUCUCAAGCGUUGUUCGGAUUCAUUGGGCGUAAAGGGUGCGUAGGUGGCGCCGUAAGUCAGGUGUGAAAUUUCGGAGCUUAACUCCGAAACUGCAUUUGAUACUGCGGUGCUUGAGGACUGGAGAGGAGACUGGAAUUUACGGUGUAGCAGUGAAAUGCGUAGAGAUCGUAAGGAAGACCAGUUGGCGAAGGCGGGUCUCUGGACAGUUCCUGACAGCUGAGGCACGAAGGCCAGGGGAGCAAACGGGG